AUACGGAGGAUCCGAGCGUUAUCCGGAUUUAUUGGGUUUAAAGGGAGCGUAGGCGGACGCUUAAGUCAGUUGUGAAAGUUUGCGGCUCAACCGUAAAAUUGCAGUUGAUACUGGGUGUCUUGAGUACAGUAGAGGCAGGCGGAAUUCGUGGUGUAGCGGUGAAAUGCUUAGAUAUCACGAAGAACUCCGAUUGCGAAGGCAGCCUGCUGGACUGUAACUGACGCUGAUGCUCGAAAGUGUGGGUAUCAAACAGGAUUAGAUACCCUUGUAGUCCACACAGGAAACGAUGAAUACUCGCUGUUUGCGAUAGACAGUAAGCGGCCAAGCGAAAGCGUUAAGGAUUCCACCUGGGGAGUACGCCGGCAACGGUGAAACUCAAAGGAAUUGACGGGG
rnacentral:rRNA from 1 species